rnacentral:rRNA from 1 species
GAUGAACGCUAGCUACAGGCUUAACACAUGCAAGUCGAGGGGCAGCAUGAACUUAGCUUGCUAAGUUUGAUGGCGACCGGUGCACGGGUGAGUAACACGUAUCCAACCUUCCGUUUACUCAGGGAUAGCCUUUCGAAAGAAAGAUUAAUACCUGAUAGUAUGGUGAGAUUGCAUGAUAGCACCAUUAAAGAUUUAUUGGUAAACGAUGGGGAUGCGUUCCAUUAGGUAGUAGGCGGGGUAACGGCCCACCUAGCCGACGAUGGAUAGGGGUUCUGAGAGGAAGGUCCCCCACAUUGGAACUGAGACACGGUCCAAAACUCCUACGGGAGGCAGCAGUGAGGAAUAUUGGUCAAUGGGCGAGGGCCUGAACCAGCCAAGUAGCGUGAAGGAUGAAGGUCCUACGGAUUGUAAACUUCUUUUAUACGGGAAUAAAGUGAGUCUCGUGAGACUUUUUGCAUGUACCUUAUGAAUAAGGACCGGCUAAUUCCGUG